rnacentral:rRNA from 1 species
GUGCCAGCAGCCGCGGUAAGACGAACUGUCCAAACGUUGUUCGGAAUCACUGGGCUUAAAGGGCGCGUAGGCGGUCCGGUAAGUCAGGGGUGAAAUCCCACAGCUUAACUGUGGAAGUGCCUUUGAUACUGCCGGUCUGGAGGGAGAUAGGGGUGUGCGGAACUUCCAGUGGAGCGGUGAAAUGCGUUGAUAUUGGAAGGAACGCCGGAGGCGAAAGCGGCGCACUGGAUCUCUUCUGACGCUGAGGCGCGAAAGCUAGGGGAGCAAACGGGAUUAGAUACCCCAGUAGUCC